GGAUGCGAUCAUACCAGCACUAAAGCACCGGAUCCCAUCAGAACUCCGAAGUUAAGCAUGCUUGGGCGAGAGUAGUACUAGGAUGGGUGACCACCUGGGAAGUCCUCGUGUUGCAUUCC
rnacentral:rRNA from 2 species